AUUGAACGCUGGCGGCAUGCCUUACACAUGCAAGUCGAACGGCAGCACGGGGGCAACCCUGGUGGCGAGUGGCGAACGGGUGAGUAAUACAUCGGAACGUGUCCUGGAGUGGGGGAUAGCCCGGCGAAAGCCGGAUUAAUACCGCAUACGCUCUGAGGAGGAAAGGGGGGGAUCUUCGGACCUCCCGCUCAAGGGGCGGCCGAUGGCAGAUUAGCUAGUUGGUGGGGUAAAGGCCUACCAAGGCGACGAUCUGUAGCUGGUCUGAGAGGACGACCAGCCACACUGGGACUGAGACACGGCCCAGACUCCUACGGGAGGCAGCAGUGGGGAAUUUUGGACAAUGGGGGAAACCCUGAUCCAGCAAUGCCGCGUGUGUGAAGAAGGCCUUCGGGUUGUAAAGCACUUUUUCCGGAAAGAAAACCUCUGCCCUAAUACGGCGGGGGGAUGACG
rnacentral:rRNA from 1 species